rnacentral:rRNA from 1 species
UACGUAGGGUGCGAGCGUUAAUCGGAAUUACUGGGCGUAAAGCGUGCGCAGGCGGUUUUGUAAGCCAGAUGUGAAAUCCCCGGGCUUAACCUGGGAAUGGCAUUUGGGACUGCAAGGCUUGAGUGCGGCAGAGGAGACUGGAAUUCCUGGUGUAGCAGUGAAAUGCGUAGAUAUCGGGAGGAACACCAGUGGCGAAGGCGACUACCUGGCCUGUUCUUGACGCUGAGGCGCGAAAGCUAGGGGAGCAAACGGG